UACGUAGGGUGCAAGCGUUAAUCGGAAUUACUGGGCGUAAAGCGUGCGCAGGCGGUCCGUUAAGACAGAUGUGAAAUCUCCAGGCUCAACCUGGAAAUGGCAUUGGAUACUAUCUAGCUUGAGGAGUGGAGGGGGGACUGGAAUUCUCGGUGUAGCAGUGAAAUGCGUAGAUAUCGAGAGGAACACCAGUGGCGAAGGCGAGUCCCUGGACACUUCCUGACACUGAGGCACGAAAGCUAGGGGAGCAAACAGG
rnacentral:rRNA from 1 species